AGGAAGUAAAAUGUUUGCAAUGUUUGCCGUAUCAAUGAUGGCAUAUCAAUGAUCAAUGAUCUACCCUCCAUUUCCACAUUACCAUGACAUCAUAACUUGUUAUAAAUAGAAAGAUCUCUGCUGGGCUUUUUGUGGAGUCCUCCUAACUCUUCUUCAGUUCUGCUUCUUUGAACUAGCUGGAGAGAUUUCAGAGGCAACUUCAAUCAUGCGGUUUCUUUUCCUCGCCUUUGCUUUGCUGCUUCUCUUCUAUGUAUCUUCAGGUCAAUUAUUUGAAUGUAUGAAGGAUGGUGGUUUCUGUCAGACUGGUCUUCACAAAGAAUGCGAGUAUGGAAGUCUCCCAUACAACUGUGGCAUUAAUGCCAUCUGCUGCAAGCGUGGACCGUGAAACCACCACCAACAAGCACCUGUGAAACCCUGGGAGGUUAUUGCCAUGUUCCCUAACAAGAACUUUGCCUCUCUAGUGUGGAAUAUUCAGCAAAUGUGAUAUUAAUGGAAGAUGUUGAAAACUGUUAUAUAACAUCAAGCAGUGAAGCAACAUUGUAAUUAAACAAUUUAAUAAAUUUGGAUCAAAUAUU